rnacentral:rRNA from 1 species
UACGGGGGGGGCAAGCGUUGUUCGGAAUUACUGGGCGUAAAGGGCUCGUAGGCGGCCAACUAAGUCAGACGUGAAAUCCCUCGGCUUAACCGGGGAACUGCGUCUGAUACUGGAUGGCUUGAGGUUGGGAGAGGGAUGCGGAAGUUCCAGGUGUAGCGGUGAAAUGCGUAGAUAUCUGGAGGAACACCGGUGGCGAAGGCGGCAUCCUGGACCAAUUCUGACGCUGAGGAGCGAAAGCCAGGGGAGCAAACGGG